rnacentral:rRNA from 1 species
CCUGGCUCAGGAUGAACGCUAGCGGCAGGCCUAAUACAUGCAAGUCGGACGGGAUCUAAAAUUAAGCUUGCUUAAUUUUAGUGAGAGUGGCGCACGGGUGCGUAACGCGUGAGCAACCUACCCAUAUCAGGGGGAUAGCCCGGUGAAAAUCGGAUUAACACCGCAGGCACAGCAGCUUCGCAUGAAACCACUGUUAAAUAUUUAUAGGAUAUGGAUGGGCUCGCGUGACAUUAGCUAGUUGGUAAGGUAACGGCUUACCAAGGCAACGAUGUCUAGGGGCUCUGAGAGGAGAAUCCCCCACACUGGUACUGUGACACGGACCAGACUCCUACGGGAGGCAGCAGUAAGGAAUAUUGGUCAAUGGAGGGAACUCUGAACCAGCCAUGCCGCGUGCAGGAUGACUGCCCUAUGGGUUGUAAACUGCUUUUGUCCAGGAAUAAACACCUCUACGUGUAGGGGCUUGAAUGUACUGGAAGAAUAAGGAUCGGCUAACUCCGUGCCAGCAGCCGCGGUAAUACGGAGGAUCCGAGCGUUAUCCGGAUUUAUUGGGUUUAAAGGGUGCGUAGGCGGCCUAUUAAGUCAGGGGUGAAAGACGGCAGCUUAACUGUCGCAGUGCCUUUGAUACUGACAGGCUUGAAUGUGGUUGAAGAUGGCGGAAUGAGACAAGUAGCGGUGAAAUGCAUAGAUAUGUCUCAGAACUCCGAUUGCGAAGGCAGCUGUCUAAGUCAUUAUCGACGCUGAUGCACGAAAGCGUGGGGAUCGAACAGGAUUAGAUACCCUGGUAGUCCACGCCCUAAACGAUGAUAACUCGAUGUUGGCGAUAUAUAGUCAGCGUCUUAGCGAAAGCGUUAAGUUAUCCACCUGGGGAGUACGCCCGCAAGGGUGAAACUCAAAGGAAUUGACGGGGGCCCGCACAAGCGGAGGAGCAUGUGGUUUAAUUCGAUGAUACGCGAGGAACCUUACCCGGGCUUGAAAGUUACUGAAUUAUCUAGAGAUAGAUAAGUCCUUCGGGACAGGAAACUAGGUGCUGCAUGGCUGUCGUCAGCUCGUGCCGUGAGGUGUUGGGUUAAGUCCCGCAACGAGCGCAACCCCUAUGUUUAGUUGCCAGCAUGUAAAGGUGGGGACUCUAAACAGACUGCCAGCGUAAGCUGUGAGGAAGGUGGGGACGACGUCAAAUCAUCAUGGCCCUUACGUCCGGGGCUACACACGUGCCACAAUGGAUGGUACAGCGGGCAGCUACACAGUAAUGUGAUGCUAAUCUCGAGAAGCCAUUCACAGUUCGGAUUGAGGUCUGCAACUCGACCUCAUGAAGUUGGAUUCGCUAGUAAUCGCGUAUCAGCAAUGACGCGGUGAAUACGUUCCCGGGCCUUGUACACACCGCCCGUCAAGCCAUGAGAGUUGGGGGUGCCUAAAGCAUGUAACCGCAAGGAGCGUGUUAGGGUAAAACCG